CAUUACCAUAGCUGGAAAGAGCAUCUUAAUACAAGAAGAACGAAAUCCAUUACCAUAGCUGGAAAGAGCAUCUUAAUACAAGAAGAACGAAAUCCAUUACCAUAGCUGGAAAGAUCAUCUUAAUACAAGAAGAACGAAAUCCAUUACCAUAGCUGGAAAGAUCAUCUUAAUACAAGAAGAACGAAAUCCAUUAGCAUAGCUGGAAAGAGCAUCUUAAUACAAGAAGAACGAAAUCCAUUACCAUGACUGGAAAGAGCAUCUUAAUACAAGAAGAACGAAAUCCAUUACCAUAGCUGGAAAGAGCGUCUUAA